GGGGUACUGCUCUAGAGGCCCACUGUCCCGUGUCUGUCCUGAGGGACCUCCAGAGCGCCCACCCCCCCUUCCCGUUGGAUGUUAUAUGGUGUGAGGACACGCCUUCCGGAGGGGGGUGUUAUGUCAGACUCUGUUUCAUGUUUUGUCUGUGUCUUGCUCCCCAGGUGUUUCUUUCAAAUGUUUCAUUUGUCC